UACGGGGGGGCAAGCGUUGUUCGGAAUUACUGGGCGUAAAGGGCUCGUAGGUGCCAACUAAGUCAUACGUGAAAUCCCUCGGCUUAACCGGGGAACUGCGUCUGAUACUGGUUGGCUUGAGUUUGGGAGAGGGAUGCGGAAUUCCAGGUGUAGCGGUGAAAUGCGUAGAUAUCUGGAGGAACACCGGUGGCGAAGGCGGCGUUCUGGACUGCAACUGACACUGAAAAACGAAAGCCAGGGAGCAAACGGG
rnacentral:rRNA from 1 species